CGGGUGAGUAACACGUAUCCAACCUGCCGUCUACUCUUGGACAGCCUUCUGAAAGGAAGAUUAAUACAAGAUGGCAUCAUGAGUUCACAUGUUCACAUGAUUAAAGGUAUUCCGGCAGACGAUGGGGAUGCGUUCCAUUAGAUAGUAGGCGGGGUAACGGCCCACCUAGUCUUCGAUGGAUAGGGGUUCUGAGAGGAAGGUCCCCCACAUUGGAACUGAGACACGGUCCAA
rnacentral:rRNA from 1 species